rnacentral:rRNA from 1 species
UACAGAGGUGUCAAGCGUUGCUCGGUAUCACUGGGCUUAAAGGGCGCGUAGGCUGUGCGGUACGGUUCGGGUGAAAUCCCUCGGCUCAACCGAGGAACUGCCCGGGCAACGGCCGCGCUAGACUGCAUUAGGGGACGAUGGAACUCCCGGUGGAGCGGUGAAAUGCGUAGAUAUCGGGAGGAACGCCGGUGGCGAAAGCGAUCGUCUGGAGUGCAAGUGACGCUGAGGCGCGAAAGCUAGGGGAGCAAACGGG